rnacentral:rRNA from 1 species
CCUACGGGGGGCAGCAGUGGGGAAUAUUGGACAAUGGGCGAAAGCCUGAUCCAGCCAUGCCGCGUGUGUGAAGAAGGCCUUCGGGUUGUAAAGCACUUUCAGUGGGGAAGAAAGCCUUGGGGCUAAUACCCUCGAGGAAGGACAUCACCCACAGAAGAAGCACCGGCUAACUCCGUGCCAGCAGCCGCGGUAAUACGGAGGGUGCGAGCGUUAAUCGGAAUUACUGGGCGUAGAGCGCGCGUAGGCGGUCUGAUAAGCCGGUUGUGAAAGCCCCGGGCUCAACCUGGGAACGGCAUCCGGAACUGUCAGGCUAGAGUGCAGGAGAGGAAGGUAGAAUUCCCGGUGUAGCGGUGAAAUGCGUAGAGAUCGGGAGGAAUACCAGUGGCGAAGGCGGCCUUCUGGACUGACACUGACGCUGAGGUGCGAAAGCGUGGGUAGCAAACAGGAUUAGAUACCCGUGUAGUC